UACGAGGGGUGCAAGCGUUGCUCGGAAUUAUUGGGCGUAAAGGGUGUGUAGGCGGUUGUUUAAGUUUGGUGUGAAAUCUCCCGGCUCAACUGGGAGGGUGCGCCGAAUACUGAAUGACUCGAGUGCGGGAGAGGAAAGUGGAAUUCCUGGUGUAGCGGUGAAAUGCGUAGAUAUCAGGAGGAACACCGGUGGUGUAGACGGCUUUCUGGACCGUAACUGACGCUGAGACACGAAAGCGUGGGUAGCAAACAGG
rnacentral:rRNA from 1 species